ensembl:snoRNA
UUGAUACAAUGAUGAGCCCAUAGUUCAGCAGAAAAAUCGUGAAGAACAAUCUUUCGCUCCUAUCUGACGUGUCAA